CUCUUGCCUUCCACCUGCUGCUAUAUGAGGACACAGCAGCAAGGUGCCAUCUUGGAAGCAGAGAACAGCCCUCGCCAGACACCAAAAUUGGUGGCUUCAGAACCGUAAGAAGAAUGGUCACACUGUUUUCCAAAGUGACUGCACCAUUUCAUAUUUCUACCAGCAACAUCAUCAUCUUCCUUUUACAGAUGAAGAAACUCAUAUCAUGGAAAAGCAUGGAUGAAAUCCUCUGACCACCCUACAUUUAAAGGACCUUUAAAGAGAAAGAACUGACAGUUAGCUUGCUGCCGGUCCACUGAUGAUGCUCACCUGCAGGACUCAGCCCACCCAAUUUCUACCUGGAUCUUGUACUGGGGUGUGGGUGCCCCCCGCAGGAUUGCUUCCCCCAGGGGUCUGUGCUGAGGUACAAGAUCACCAGACUUACCUAGGGCAAAUGAAAGAAGUACAGCCAGGCAGGAUCUGAACUGUAUUGACCAGGGAAGUGAAAGUCAAAACUGUAGAGGUGGUUCCAAGCAUCAAGUUUGGUGAAGGAUGAGGUGAGAUGUCAACAGCAAGAUGCAUCAGCAGAGCAGAAGGAAGAAGGAAGCAGAACCCAAGGCAGCUUGAGGCAAGUUGACCAGAAGAGAGGAUAUGAAAUGGAUGGACGUGUCAGAGGUCCAUUUCUACUUGACGGAGACAAAUCCUCAAGGAGGUAGGAGGGAGCGGGUGGUUGGUAAACCAAUUCCUUCCAUAAGCAGCUGCAUCAACAGCUUCCAUCUUGCCCCUUGUUGGGUUUGGAGUUGAAUCAGGCUCCCAGUCCCAGAACUCGGGGGCAUGACUGUGGACUGUUUCAGCUCCCAUGAAGACCCUUGGACUCUCCUGGCUGCCAAGUAGAUCCAGGACUUUUCUACUGGAAGCAAGCUCUGAUAUUCAAAUCUUAGCUCUCCCAGUGCCUAAGUGGACCCAGGCCAUACGAUGGUCUUCUGUCUAAACAUCCCCUCUAAUUCUGAGCCUUUGUGCUUAGUGUCCAGCAACUCCAGCCAGCCUCAACAGGGCCCUCCUGUGAUACUCGACUUCCCCAUUCCCUGGGGACUGGAUUCUGCAUUUGAUGACCUGACUUCUGGGACGUGUCUUUCUGUAUAAUUUCAGGUUGAGAGUCUUUGGCUCUAUCUCAAUGACUCCUGAGUAAAUGGCAAGAAUUUCCUGCAACUGUUCCUCACUCUUCUGUUGGGCAGCUUCCAGAAUGGGAUAAAAUCAUUAUAUAGUCAUCUACAAGGCCUGAGUAUCCUCUCUGGCUGGCUUUUAA
rnacentral:lncRNA from 1 species